rnacentral:rRNA from 1 species
UACUAGAGUAGCACUCGCAUAUCAAUAAGCGGAGGAAAAGAAACUAACAAGGAUUCCCCUAGUAACGGCGAGUGAAACGGGAAGAGCUCAAAUUUGAAAUCUUAAAGGGUUUCCCUUUACGAAUUGUAGUUUAAAGAAGUGUUUUCUGUUGAGGUUUUGGUAAAAGUUCUUUGGAAUAGGACAUCAUAGAGGGUGAGAAUCCCGUAUUUGACCUUUACUUUCAACUUUGUGAUACACUUUCAAAGAGUCGGAUUGUUUGGGAAUGCAGUCCAAAAUGGGUGGUAAAUUUCAUCUAAAGCUAAAUAUUGGCGAGAGACCGAUAGCGAACAAGUACCAUGAGGGAAAGAUGAAAAGAACUUUGAAAAGAGAGUUAAACAGUACGUGAAAUUGUCAAAAGGGAAGCGUUUGACACCAGUGUUGUUUUUCUGAAAAUCAAUUAAAGAACUGUUUAUGCUAAGCUGUUUAGACUUUAUCAGCUAUCUGUUUAGUUUUGAGCUUUUCUUUAAUGCACUUUUCAGUUAACAAGUCAACAUCAAUUUCUUUUGCUGUAAAAAAGCUUGAGGAAGGUGGCUUGAGAUUCGUCUUAAGUGUUUAUAGCCUCUUGCCUAUGCAGUCGGAGAGAUUGAGGUCUGCAGCGUAGAUCCUUCGGGGCUAAAUGCAUUUGUGCUAAGUUAUAGCAUUUUAUAGACAACUUGUUGACUAUGAUUUGUCUUGUAGCUUACUCGCUUAUGUUAUUUUACCUACGCUUAGGAUGUUGAGCGCAUGUCUCUAUCU